UACGUAGGGUGCAAGCGUUGUCCGGAAUUAUUGGGCGUAAAGAGCUCGUAGGCGGUUUGUCACGUCUGCUGUGAAAACUCGGGGCUUAACUCCGGGCCUGCAGUGGGUACGGGCAGACUAGAGUGCGGUAGGGGAGACUGGAAUUCCUGGUGUAGCGGUGAAAUGCGCAGAUAUCAGGAGGAACACCGGUGGCGAAGGCGGGUCUCUGGGCCGUAACUGACGCUGAGGAGCGAAGGCGUGGGGAGCGAACAGG
rnacentral:rRNA from 1 species